rnacentral:rRNA from 1 species
CGGCACGGGUGAGUAACACGUAUGCAAUCCACCUGUAACAGGGGAUAACCCGGAGAAAUCCGGACUAAUACCCCAUAAUAUGGGCGCUCCGCAUGGAGAGCCCAUUAAAGAGAGCAAUUUUGGUUACAGACGAGCAUGCGCUCCAUUAGCCAGUUGGCGGGGUAACGGCCCACCAAAGCGACGAUGGAUAGGGGUUCUGAGAGGAAGGUCCCCCACAUUGGAACUGAGACACGGUCCAA